UUUCCGUAGGUGAACCUGCGGAAGGAUCAUUCAUAAUAAGUGUUUUAUGGCACUUUUUUAAAUCCAUAUCCACCUUGUGUGCAAUGUCAGGGUUGAUUUUUCUCUCGAGAGGAUCAGCCCCAAACAUCAACUAUAUCUCAACUCUUUGUCUGAAAAAUAUUAUGAAUAAAACAAUUAAAAUACAACUUUCAACAACGGAUCUCUUGGCUCUC
rnacentral:misc_RNA from 1 species